rnacentral:rRNA from 1 species
ACGAAGGGUGCAAGCGUUAUCCGGAUUCAUUGGGUUUAAAGGGUGCGUAGGCGGGGCGUUAAGUCAGUGGUGAAAUCUUGCAGCUCAACUGUAAACUUGCCAUUGAUACUGACGCUCUUGAGUGCGCUUGAAGUAGGCGGAAUGUGCAGUGUAGCGGUGAAAUGCUUAGAUAUUGCACAGAACACCAAUUGCGAAGGCAGCUUACUAAGGCGAUACUGACGCUGAGGCACGAAAGCGUGGGGAUCAAACAGG